UACGUAGGGCGCAAGCGUUAUCCGGAAUUAUUGGGCGUAAAGAGCUCGUAGGCGGUUUGUCGCGUCUGCCGUGAAAGUCCGGGGCUCAACUCCGGAUCUGCGGUGGGUACGGGCAGACUAGAGUGAUGUAGGGGAGACUGGAAUUCCUGGUGUAGCGGUGAAAUGCGCAGAUAUCAGGAGGAACACCGAUGGCGAAGGCAGGUCUCUGGGCAUUAACUGACGCUGAGGAGCGAAAGCAUGGGGAGCGAACAGGAAUUAGAU
rnacentral:rRNA from 1 species